rnacentral:rRNA from 1 species
UAAUUGAAGAGUUUGAUCAUGGCUCAGAUUGAACGCUGGCGGCAGGCCUAACACAUGCAAGUCGAACGGUAACAGGGAGUAGCUUGCUGCUCUGCUGACGAGUGGCGGACGGGUGAGUAAUGUCUGGGAAACUGCCUGAUGGAGGGG